AGGGAAUUUAAAGGCCCCUGUCUCUUCCAGUCCAAGCCACGACUCUUCUGGUUGAGGCCACGCCCCCUGCUCAGGACUCCGGAGUACUAGGGAGAGACUUUAAAAUAAUCUGCCUGGAGGGACAUGUCACGAGAAGAGAGACCACAGCAGGUCCGGAGCAGCUGUCAGCAGGAGGCACUAGGUGGGGAAGGAGCUGCUACACCAUGCCCCGCCAUGAGGGGGCGUGCCAUUGAUUGGUGUGCCAGGGCUUUGCUGACCAGUGAAGAGUGGUGAGGCUGGCGGAGUCCACGUGGCCAUGGAGCAGGGGUCAGACUAUGGAUGACAUGCCCCUUUGUACGCACUAGCCCUGCCACAGCAGUAGCUUGGAUCGGAGGUUCUAGCAGUGUGUUGGAUGGAUCUCAGGCAAUGGGCUUGAGGCCAGCGGAGCAGGGUGUGAAGCCAUGCCCCCUGCUUCAUGCCCUGCCUUAGCCUAGUAGUGGGACUCCUCCCAGGGUGAUGCCAAAGUGGCCUGGUCCUGAAGGUUUCCCUCCAGUCUUGUGGCAUGCCCCAUAUAGUAUCCUCCCAGAGCUUCCAUUCAAGUGGCAACCGCCCUGCCAAUAGGUGAAGGAGAGAGUGGGGCUUGGGUGGAAUUCCACCCAUUGCGUGUUGGCUUGUCUCUGUGAACAGCCAGCCACAGCUUCUCCCUGCACUGAUCCUCUUAGCUUAGGAAGCCAGCAGCCUGUACUUCCCAGCAGCAGCUGGGCCACUCCUCCAGUAUCAUCUGCUGACCUACCCAACGGUGAUCACAGGCUCCCUUUCCUGGCAAUCUGGCUUUUGCUCCUAGCUGAUGCCAACAUCAAAGGCAGCUUGCAGGUCCCCCUCCUCCCUCUCUGUUGCUUGCUGCUGUAGUCUCCCUUCCUCUUCUGGCAGCGGUGGUGAUGCU